ensembl:lncRNA
CCAAUGGAGACUUGGUAGGGUUGUGGACACCAUAACAGACGAAGAUGGACUUGUGAGAAAGGUCAAAGUAACCUUUGCAGACAGAAACCUUAGUAAAAAGGGUGAACGUUUGCAUAAGAUGUCUACAGUGGAACGCCCAGUUCAUAAGUUGGUUCUACUGCUGGAAAGUUGUGAAAAACAAGAUGCACUAAGCAGUUAAAAUGCGAUGAGAAUUUGUUGUUGCAUAUACAAAGUGAAUGAUGUAACGGUAAAAAUUGGAUGUACAAAAAAGACGGAAGAAAACGGAAAACUAAUACUAACGGAGAAAAGGGAGAGAAGAUUAUGGUUAAAUUGUACGAAGACAAAUGGUUCUAGCUACAGUCGACAGGGGAACAAGCUCUUACGUUGGUUCGUUGUCUGAUACACGGCAAGGAAUAAUAAAGGUCAUUCAACAACCAUCAGUUCUGGCCUUCUCAGUUCGACUGGAUGCUACACCUUUGGAGGUGGGGUGCCCCCGGCCUCUCGGCCUGGGGCUCGGUCACUCAGGCACAGCUGGGGGCCGGCGGAGCUCACGGGCGCGUCACUGCAACCCCCCCUGACUUCUGCUCCGCGGCUGCUGGGCGAGCCCUCAUCUGGGACUCUCCUCAGCUCCUACUGGAACAGUGGCGCGGCUGCCCCUCUGUUGGUCUUCCAUGGUCUCUUGUGUUCUGGGGGCCUCUGGAUGUCUGGAGUUUUGAUCUCCUCCAUACCCGCUUCACACCCUGGAGGACGGGGCUGUGGCCCCCCCACACUCCCUAGCAGAUCAUUACAUGGAGAAACCUUUGGAAUGCAAGCAUGCUGAUCCACACAGGUAUGCACACAUGGGUAUUCACAGACGCGGACUAAAGCUUUCUUGGCUGCUGCCUCAAAGCACACUGUGCGCUGUCUAUCUUGCGUGCUGCACAAUAUCGUUUAUUAUUUAGUAAAUAUUGAUAUCUAUGACUAGCUAGUUUAUUGUGAUGGUGCUUUGUUUUCUCUAUUAUUAUGUUACUCUUUGUUGUUUGCUGUCUCCUCUGUUUGUUUUUUUUGUUUGUUUGUUUUUUUUUUCUCCAUACAGGUGACCCAGGAGUUCUUUUUUUUUUUUUCUCUCUCUCUUCCCCCCCUUCUCACUGUCUCUUCUCCCCUUUGGUUUUCUUUCUUUCUCUCCCCCUCUUUCUCUCAUUCAUUCCCCCUGUGCUAUUUAUUAAAAAAAAAAAAAAAAAUGACAAAGGAUGAACUGAAGCUCUGCCAUCACGUAAUGUCGCAUACUGCUGUUUCUGAUGUCAUUUAGAAAAAAAAAAAAAAAAAAAAGAGUAAGCGUACUGUGACGUCACGGCACGUGUGCCUUAACGUCACACUGCUGUGAGGCUAUAAAUAUGAGCUCGCGCCUUAGAACGCGAGCUCAUAUUUACCCCCAAGGUAAGGCACUCUACUACACCUAGUGUUGAAAACACAUUUUAACAAAAUUAACGCUGAUUCUAUAGUC